rnacentral:lncRNA from 1 species
GAGAAAUCAGCUACCUUGGUGCUGAAAACAGUAGCUUUGACAUCCUCUAAACAGAUUCCAGAAUCCCAUGGACUGAACACCACAGUCUAGACUAACUGACAGACAGAAUUCUUCUCCUGUUAGGAAUAAUCCAGGAACAGUGAGGAAAGUGCUGCUGCUGCUUCUCCAGCAGCUGUAGUUGUUCCUGCGAGAGGAGCCCAGGUGAGCAGCUGCUGGCUGAUCAUAAAGUCUGGAAGCAAACAACAAAUGUCCAAGCAGUUAUUUCUUCCCUAAACUUAGAAUGAAUCCGUAGUAAGAAACCAUUGGCCUUCUCUACAGCACCUUUACCCCAUAGCUCUGAGGGCUUUACGAAGGUAGGUUAAUAUGGCUUUGUCUUCCUAGUGCAUUCCAAAAAUUUAACUAACCCUCAACAUCCCUAUGAGAUGAGCAGGUA